ACGCUCGACACCUACGGGGAGCAGCAGGUGGGGAAUAUUGCACAAUGGGGGAAACCCUGAUGCAGCGACGCCGCGUGGAGGAAGAAGGUCUUCGGAUUGUAAACUCCUGUUGUUGGGGAAAAAGAGGAUGGUACCCAACAAGGAAGUGACGGCUAACUACGUGUCAGCAGCCGCGGUAAUCUGAGCGGGCUGGCAAGGC
rnacentral:rRNA from 1 species